rnacentral:lncRNA from 1 species
AUGCCCGGGAAGCUGAAGGUGAAAAUCGUGGCCGGGCGCCAUUUGCCGGUGAUGGACCGUGCUAGUGACCUGACCGAUGCCUUCGUGGAGGUUAAGUUUGGUAAUACUACCUUUAAAACAGAUGUGUACCUCAAGUCACUCAACCCUCAGUGGAACUCAGAAUGGUUUAAAUUUGAGGUGGAUGAUGAAGAUCUACAAGAUGAACCUCUGCAGAUCACGGUUCUGGACCAUGAUACCUACAGCGCAAAUGAUGCCAUUGGUAAAGUGUACAUUGAUAUUGAUCCUCUACUGUAUAGUGAAGCUGCUACAGUCAUCUCGGGAUGGUUUCCAAUUUAUGACACCAUACAUGGUAUCCGUGGAGAAAUCAAUGUGAUUGUUAAAGUAGACCUCUUCAAUGAUUUGAAUAGGUUUAGACAGUCAUCGUGUGGAGUCAAAUUCUUUUGUACAACAUCUAUUCCAAAGUGCUACAGAGCUGUAAUAAUUCAUGGAUUUGUAGAAGAACUAGUGGUCAAUGAAGACCCAGAGUAUCAAUGGAUUGAUCGAAUUCGUACACCAAGGGCAUCAAAUGAGGCCAGACAGAGACUCAUUUCUUUAAUGUCAGGUGAACUGCAGAGGAAGAUUGGCUUGAAAGUACUUGAAAUGAGAGGAAAUGCAGUUGUCGGGUACUUACAGUGCUUUGAUCUGGAGGGAGAGUCGGGGUUAGUGGUACGAGCCAUAGGAACAGCGUGUACUCUGGAUAAAUUAAGUAGCCCAGCAGCAUUCCUUCCUGCAUGUAAUUCCCCAUCCAAAGAAAUGAAGGAGAUUCCCUUCAAUGAAGAUCCCAAUCCCAAUACUCACUCAUCAGGACCCUCAACCCCUCUGAAAAACCAAACUUAUUCCUUUUCACCUUCCAAGUCCUACAGUCGACAGUCCUCUUCUUCUGACACAGAUUUGAGUUUGACACCCAAAACUGGAAUGGGAAGCGGUAGUGCUGGGAAAGAAGGAGGGCCAUUUAAAGCUCUUUUAAGACAGCAGACUCAGUCCGCAUUGGAGCAGAGGGAGUUUCCGUUUUUUACUUUGACGGCAUUUCCUCCUGGAUUUCUUGUGCACGUUGGCGGUGUUGUUAGUGCACGCUCUGUGAAGCUUUUGGAUCGCAUCCACAACCCCGAUGAACCAGAAACGCGGGAUGCGUGGUGGGCAGAAAUUAGACAAGAAAUAAAAUCCCAUGCUAAAGCACUGGGCUGCCAUGCUGUCGUGGGCUACAGUGAAUCGACUAGCAUCUGUGAAGAAGUCUGCAUUUUGUCAGCAUCCGGCACAGCAGCUGUCCUCAAUCCUCGGUUUCUGCAGGACGGCACCGUGGAGGGCUGUUUGGAACAGAGGCUUGAGGAAAAUUUGCCUGCAGGCUGUGGAUUUUGCCAUAUUCCAUAUGAUGAACUGAAUAUGCCAUUUCCAGCUCAUCUCACGUACUGCUAUAACUGCAGGAAACAAAAAGUUCCUGAUGUCCUCUUUACAACUAUAGACCUCCCCGCCGAUGCAGCAGUUGUUGGAAAAGGUUGUCUUAUUCAAGCAAGGUUAUGUCGCUUAAAAAAGAAAGCACAAGCAGAAGCCAAUGCUACGGCCAUCAGUAACCUCCUGCCUUUUAUGGAAUACGAAGUGCAUACUCAGCUCAUGAAUAAGCUGAAACUCAAGGGGAUGAACGCUCUGUUUGGACUAAGAAUUCAGAUCACAGUGGGUGAAAAUAUGUUGAUGGGCCUCGCAUCUGCCACAGGAGUGUACUUAGCAGCUUUACCAACACCUGGUGGGAUUCAGAUUGCUGGGAAGACCCCGAACGAUGGCUCAUAUGAGCAGCAUAUCUCCCACAUGCAGAAGAAGAUAAAUGACACGAUUGCUAAGAACAAAGAGUUAUAUGAAAUCAGUCCUCCGGAGAUAUCUGAAGAGGUUAUUGGAUCACCUAUCCCAGAACCCAGACAACGCUCAAGACUUCUGAGAUCUCAGUCAGAAAGCUCAGACGAAGUUACAGAAUUGGAUCUUUCCCAUGGGAAAAAGGAUGCUUUUGUUUUGGAGAUUGAUGACACAGAUGCCCUGGAAGAUGUGCAUUCUCUGCUUACUGAUGUUCCUCCUCCCCCAGGCUUUUAUAGUUGUAAUACAGAAAUUAUGCCUGGUAUAAAUAACUGGACAUCAGAAAUACAGAUGUUCACAUCAGUGAGAGUAAUCAGAUUAAGCAGUCUUAACCUGACUAAUCAAGCUCUCAAUAAGCAUUUUAAUGAUCUGUGUGAAAAUUUGCUCAAGAGCCUGUAUUUUAAACUCCGAUCUAUGAUUCCUUGCUGCCUUUGCCAUGUAAAUUUCACCGUGUCUCUGCCUGAAGAUGAAUUAAUUCAGGUUACAGUCACAGCAGUUGCAAUAACUUUUGACAAAAAUCAGGCUUUGCAGACCACAAAAACGCACGUUGAGAAGUCACUGCAAAGAGCUUCUACAGAUAAUGAAGAGCUCCUGCAGUUUCCACUGGAACUGUGUUCAGAGUCGCUUCCUUCCCAUCCUUUCCCUCCAGCUAAAGAACACCUGGAGAGUGCAAGUUCUAACUCAGGUAUACCCGCUGCACAGAGAGCAACGUCAGUUGAUUACAGUUCCUUUGCAGACAGAUGCAGCAGCUGGAUAGAGCUCAUUAAACUGAAAGCUCAGACCAUAAGGCGCGGAUCAAUUAAGACAACUGUGACAGUUGAAAAAGCAAGUCCAGUGGGUGAAGGAAAUUUCCGGAAUCGCUCCGCUCCGCCUUGUGCAAAUUCUACAGUUGGGGUUGUUAGGAUGACACCUCUGUCUUUCAUUCCGGGAGCAAAAAUAACUAAAUAUCUUGGGAUAAUUAACAUGUUUUUUAUUCGGGAAACCACUUCUCUUCGUGAGGAAGGGGGCGUCAGUGGUUUUCUCCACGCUUUCAUCGCUGAGGUCUUUGCGAUGGUGCGCGCUCACGUGGCUGCGUUAGGAGGGAACGCUGUAGUCUCCUACAUCAUGAAGCAGUGUGUCUUCAUGGAGAACCCAAACAAAAACCAGAGAUUUAUGUGGCCUAUUACGUCUUCCGCCAUCAUCUGGUGUAAUUAGUGACCAUGAAACUUGUCUCCUGAGGCACCAAAUCUAUCUCACAGUACACAGUACGGAUGGUGUUCCAUGAAAUGAGCCAACAGUGGGAACACAAAGGCUUCCUCGGCCUUCCGGGGUGGGCGUGAGGCGAGUCCUUGCCACCUGGACUGUCGUCUUCUCUCACUGGUCCUGGAACUCAAGGCCACCGCAAGCAUCUGACUCUACUUGAACCUGAACUUCACUUAGCAGCAGCACCCGCCUGGCCCAAAUCUGUGUCAUCAUCUAGAUGUUGACUUCUGACCUCUUGCUCUUUCUUUGCCUACUUCUCAUUCACAGUGAGCCUUUCCUUAGUGAGCUAUUCACCCCUUAUCUAUUCCUUGUGAAAAGUAGUGUCAGCUGAGUUGUCAAAGUCAUUUUUCUCCUUUUCUACCCAGUUUAUGCAGAUGCAGGCUGAUGACAGAAACAUCCACACAGCAGAAAAUCAUUGUAAAGUAGGAGUUUGAAGUCAUACACAAGAGUUAAACAUUGUCAAGAUGUUCUUUUGUUCUCUUGGAGAAGACAUUCUAUGCUUGUUUCAAGAGUAAAUAACACAUAUAUAUCUUUGUUUUGCACAAAGGGAAUACUAGUUUGGAUUUUUUUCUAUUUAGAAUGUGCUUCAACGUUUUUUCAUAUUACUACAUAUACCCUUAUGCUACUUUUAGUACAGUGAGGCACAUUUAUUAAGUUAUGAACAAGAAGUCCUGAGGUAGGAAAGCUUCAGAUCAGAUUAAUUCAAAGGCACAGCAACAUCAUCUGUACGUACCCCACUUAUUUGACCAUCAUGAUCGACAUGUUGGUUUUCUCCUCCAUGUUACAAAAUGGCUGCCACAGUAUCAGAGAUCAUAUUCAGGCAGGCAAAAGCACAGUAUCAGAGAACAGACUGUCUUCUCUGGUCUCUUUCUCAGAAGGGCUCUGGUAAGCUGUUUCUCACAUGUUAGCCAGAGUUUUGGAUAGACAGUUAACUGUGUUAGUUAUAUCCUAUUUAUAUUUACUGUUCAACAUUAUUUGGUUUUCUUAUGCAUUUAUUCCUUCCUCUAAAUUUGAGAAUAUCUUUGUCAUUUUCUCUCAUAACCCAUUGGAGUCAUAAAAAUUAUCAUUUUAUUUGUGUGUAUCUGUGUAUAGAGAGAAAUAUCUUUAUAACUUUGUGUUUUUUGGCUGUGGACAUGGUUAUUUCUCCAUUAAUAAAAAUUUUAAAUCUUCAAUGGAGUUUAAAAGUGUUUUUUUUCUUUUUAUAAAAUUCUAUAUAUUCAUUUUUAGAUCUUAGACAUUUUAAUUUUAUUGCUGUUGUUGAGGACAUUGUAUUUCCCUGUAUAUUUUCUAGCUGGUUAUUAACGCUGUGCCAGAACAUUGUUGAUUUUUAUGUGUUGGGUUUGUGUUGAAUAAACUUGCUGAUCU